UACGGCUAUGGCUCAGUGGUAGAGUGUCUGCCUGGCAUGCAUGAGGCCCUGGGUUCGAUCCCCAGUACCACAG